rnacentral:rRNA from 1 species
CCAAUAGCGUAUAUUAAAGUUGUUGCAGUUAAAAAGCUCGUAGUUGAAUUUCGGGAUCAGACUGUCGGUCGUGCCUCGGUACGCACUGGCAUUAUUGGUUCCUACCUUCUGAAGAACCGCGAUGUCAUUAAUUUGGUGUCGCGGGGAGUCAGGACUGUUACUUUGAAAAAAUUAGAGUGUUUAAAGCAGGCUUACGCUUGAAUACAUUAG